UGCGGGGUGUGAGAAGUUGGUAUCUCAUCGGCCUCAUAAGCCGACGCCUUUGUGCCUCGCGGGUUCAAGUCCCGCUCCCGCAACUA
rnacentral:tRNA from 1 species